rnacentral:rRNA from 1 species
CAGGCCUAACACAUGCAAGUCGAACGGAUGUAGCAAUACAUUAGUGGCGCACGGGUGCGUAACACGUAACUAAUCUACCUACAACUGGGGGAUAGCCCGCCGAAAGGCGGAUUAAUACCGCAUAACACUUGAUUUCGGCAUCGAGAUUUAGUUAAAGAUUUAUUGGUUGUAGAUGAGGUUGCGGGUCAUUAGCUAGUUGGUAAGGUAACGGCUUACCAAGGCGACGAUGACUAGGGGAGCUGAGAGGCUGGUCCCCCACACGGGCACUGAGAUACGGGCCCGACUCCUACGGGAGGCAGCAGUAGGGAAUAUUGGGCAAUGGCCGAGAGGCUGACCCAGCCAUGCCGCGUGAGUGAUGAAGGCCUUAGGGUUGUAAAGCUCUUUUACCCGGGAUGAUAAUGACAGUACCGGGAGAAUAAGCUCCGGCUAACUCCGUGCCAGCAGCCGCGGUAAU